rnacentral:rRNA from 1 species
UACGUAGGGACCAAGCGUUGUUCGGAUUCAUUGGGCGUAAAGGGUGUGUAGGUGGCGCGCUAAGUCGGGUGUGAAAUUUCGGAGCUUAACUCCGAAACUGCAUUCGAUACUGGCGUGCUUGAGGACUGGAGAGGAGACUGGAAUUUACGGUGUAGCAGUGAAAUGCGUAGAGAUCGUAAGGAAGACCAGUGGCGAAGGCGGGUCUCUGGACAGCUCCUGACACUGAGGCACGAAGGCCAGGGGAGCAAACGGG